CUAAACUUGAUUAGCAACUAUAAAUCCAGUUACUAACGGCGCUGGAGGGGGGGGCAGAAGUUCUUGCCCUCACCCGCUGUUCGUCUACAUCUACAGCAUCUGCGAGAACAGAGGCAUUCAUGGUGUUGCAAGGCUCUGUGAGUUAUGAGGGCUUUCUAAGCACCAUUGAGCCCUUUAAUGGCACCAACUUUCCUAAGUGGAAUAAAGAGGUGCGUCACACUCUCAAUGUUCUGGACUUUGAUUACACACUUUACUAGGACAAACCUAUCAAUCCUGCUAUAAACACUGAGAAUCAUAAUGAGCAAUUAAGGGAGUACAACUCCAAGUUGCAAAAUUGGAAAAAUCCAAUGAAUUUGCAAAAUUAGUUAUAAAACAUUCGAUCUCAUUUGCCAUAAGGGGAGCAUUUCCUUAUAAGAAGGAUGAUAGGGAACUAAGUGUUAAGGAGUUUCUGAACACUAUUGUGGAAAGUUAUAAAGUUAAUUAUUCCAACUUCAUUGUAUUGUCUACCUCACGUUAUGAUGGGCAAAGUGGACUAAGUAUACACAUUAAGAGCAUGUACAAUAUGGCUGCUGAGUUGAAAACACUUGGCAGGUUCAUCUCUAAUGAUCUGCUAGUGCAAUAUCUUAUGGCUUCUCUAUCGGAGAAUUAUAAUAAGCGUGCUCAAAAUGUGUAUACUCAAGUAAGAUGCAAGUUCUAUGAGUCACCUGAUCAAGUGAAGAAUCAAUGUCCUAAAUCUAAGGAAUGGAUUCAAAAGAAGGGUAUUAAGUCUGAACCAUAAGAUAAGGGAAGUUCAAGGCGAGCAAAGUCUCCUAAUGAUGAUGAAGACAAAAAUGUUAAAUGCUUCGCAUUAGUUUUAGCUAUUUGUUUAGCUUUAUUUUUCAUAUUGAUGAUAUCUCUUAGAUUAAGGAAAGCCAUAUUUAUUUCAGUGAUAAGUGAUCCUGAACCUUUUGUUUUGUUUUUAGAUAAUAAAUAUAUCAUCAUUGUUGAUUUUGCUAUUUGUCAAGGAAUUUUCAUAUAUAUUUCUUGU